UAUAUUUUGCAGGUGUCACUCA
rnacentral:siRNA from 1 species